UGGCGGCAAUAGAGUACUGGAACCACCUGAUCCCAUCCCGAACUCAGAAGUGAAACGGUACAUCGCCAAUGAUAGUGUGGGGCUUCCCCAUGCGAAAGUAGGUCACUGCCAGGCAUUUAUU
rnacentral:rRNA from 1 species